AAGGAUUUAAGUUAAACAAACUAUUAACCUUCAAAGUUAAAAAUAUUUAUAAAAUUUAAACCUUA
rnacentral:tRNA from 1 species